rnacentral:rRNA from 1 species
UACGGGGGGAGCAAGCGUUGUUCGGAUUUACUGGGCGUAAAGGGCGCGUAGGCGGUCAGCACAAGUCAGUUGUGAAAUCUCCGGGCUUAACUCGGAAAGGUCAACUGAAACUGUGCGACUAGAGUGCGGAAGGGGCAACUGGAAUUCUUGGUGUAGCGGUGAAAUGCGUAGAUAUCAAGAGGAACACCUGCGGCGAAGGCGGGUUGCUGGGCCGACACUGACGCUGAAGCGCGAAAGCCAGGGGAGCGAACGGG